rnacentral:sRNA from 1 species
ACAGCGGUCACUGCGCUGCAGGGACAGUCCCCAAGUGCCAAGGCGCAGCCUGAAGGGGCCUGUUCCCACCAUGGCAUCCAUGACAAGAACCAGGAGCCAGAAUGCAGGUUUCUGGGACUUGUCAGCUCCCUUCUGAGUGCCCUGUUGAGGAUUCCUAGAAGUCCAGACACGGCACCCCCUCAACCUGGAUGGACCACCCAGAGCCAAUAGGAAUACUUUUCUGUGGACAUGCCAUGUUGGAAUCCCAGACCUCCCUGCCCUGCCAGCCCCUGCCAGCUUCCUGGGGGCCCCAACUGACCCUGAAGAAAGCCUCUGAUGGGCCUAGAACAGAGAGGUGACCCAGGACCUUGCCCAGCCUUUCUGGACAACUGGAAGACAGUUACGCUUCGUCCUCCAACUCUCCCUCCAACAAAAGGAUCUUAGCAAGUGUUGGAGAGGCGCUGAAGUCGUAUUAGGACCAACCAGACUUUCUUUGAGGAUACUCAGAAGGAGUGAAGGAGAAUGGAACAGGGAGUGUGAAUAAAUGAGCUUUCUCCCUGUGCGAUUCAAAGUGGUUUAACCCAUGCCUCACCUUCUAGAGCACCCGUGGCCCUCUCUAGCGGUGAGAAAUGUCACCACUAGCCAUCAAAAUGCCCCCAAAAGUCCAACCUUUGACCAAACUACAUUUCAGAUUUUCAUUUCAGAUUUUCUUAAAUUUUGGAGAAAAAAAAUAAAAUAAAGUAAAAGCAUAAAUA